AGAGUUUGAUCAUGGCUCAGGAUGAACGCUAGCGAUAGGCUUAACACAUGCAAGUCGAGGGGCAGCACGGAAUAGCAAUAUUUUGGUGGCGACCGGCGCACGGAUGAGUAACACGUAUGCAACCUACCCAUGACAGUGGAAUAACCCGUCGAAAGGCGGACUAAUACCGCAUAAUAAAGAGUGCUCGCAUGGGUACUUUUUCAAAGAUUUAUCGGUCAUGGAUGGGCAUGCGUUCCAUUAGGUAGUUGGCGGGGCAACGGCCCACCAAGCCUGCGAUGGAUAGGGGUUCUGAGAGGAAGGUCCCCCACACUGGUACUGAGACACGGACCAGACUCCUACGGGAGGCAGCAGUGAGGAAUAUUGGUCAAUGGGCGAGAGCCUGAACCAGCCAAAUCGCGUGAAGGAUGAAGGUAUUAUGUAUUGUAAACUUCUUUUACAGGGGAAUAAAGUGCGGGACGUGUCCCGUUUUGUAUGUACCCUGAGAAUAAGGAUCGGCUAACUCCGUGCCAGCAGCCGCGGUAAUACGGAGGAUCCAAGCGUUAUCCGGAUUUAUUGGGUUUAAAGGGUGCGUAGGCGGGGAAUCAAGUCAGCGGUGAAAGUUUGCGGCUCAACCGUAAAAUUGCCGUUGAAACUGGUUCUCUUGAGUGUAGAUGAGGUGGGUGGAAUUCGUGGUGUAGCGGUGAAAUGCUUAGAUAUCACGAAGUACUCAAUUGCGUAGGCAGCUCACUGGGCUACAACUGACGCUGAGGCACGAAGGUGCGGGGAUCAAACAGGAUUAGAUACCCUGGUAGUCCGCACAGUAAACGAUGAAUACUAGCUGUUGGCGAUACACUGCCAGUGGCACAGCGAAAGCGUUAAGUAUUCCACCUGGGGAGUACGUUCGCAAGAAUGAAACUCAAAGGAAUUGACGGGGGCCCGCACAAGCGGAGGAACAUGUGGUUUAAUUCGAUGAUACGCGAGGAACCUUACCCGGGCUUGAAUUGCAUCUGAAUACAGCGGAAACGUUGUAGCUAGCAAUAGCAGAUGUGAAGGUGCUGCAUGGUUGUCGUCAGCUCGUGCCGUGAGGUGUCGGCUUAAGUGCCAUAACGAGCGCAACCCUCAUCAUUAGUUACUAACAGGUCAUGCUGAGGACUCUAAUGAGACUGCCGGCGUAAGCUGUGAGGAAGGUGGGGAUGACGUCAAAUCAGCACGGCCCUUACGUCCGGGGCGACACACGUGUUACAAUGGGGGGGACAGCAGGCAGCGAAGUGGUGACACCGAGCGAAUCCUCAAACCCUCUCUCAGUUCGGAUCGAAGUCUGCAACCCGACUUCGUGAAGCUGGAUUCGCUAGUAAUCGCGCAUCAGCCAUGGCGCGGUGAAUACGUUCCCGGGCCUUGUACACACCGCCCGUCAAGCCAUGGGAGUUGGGGGUGCCUGAAGUGCGUGACCGCAAGGAGCGUCCUAGGGCAAAACCGAUGACUGGGGCUAAGUCGUAACAAGGUAUCCGUA
rnacentral:rRNA from 1 species